rnacentral:rRNA from 1 species
UACGUAGGGGGCAAGCGUUGUCCGGAUUUAUUGGGCGUAAAGAGCGUGUAGGCGGUUUUACAGGUCCGCUGUGAAAACUCGAGGCUCAACCUCGAGACGCCGAUGGAAACCAUCUGACUAGAGUCCGGAAGAGGAGAGUGGAAUUCCUGGUGUAGCGGUGAAAUGCGCAGAUAUCAGGAAGAACACCCGUGGCUAAGGCGGCUCUCUAGUACGGUACUGACGCUGAGACGCGAAAGCGUGGGGAGCGAACAGG